rnacentral:rRNA from 1 species
UACAGAGACUGCAAGCGUUAUUCGGAUUCACUGGGCGUAAAGGGUGCGUAGGCGGCGCGGUAAGUCGGGUGUGAAAUCUCGGAGCUUAACUCCGAAACUGCAUUUGAUACUGCGGUGCUUGAGGACUGGAGAGGAGACUGGAAUUCACGGUGUAGCAGUGAAAUGCGUAGAUAUCGUGAGGAAGACCAGUGGCGAAGGCGGGUCUCUGGACAGUUCCUGACACUGAGGCACGAAGGCCAGGGGAGCAAACGGG